GAUGAACGCUGACAGAAUGCUUAACACAUGCAAGUCAUUGGCGAAGCUGCGCUUGCGCAGUCUAGCCAAGGCGGACGGGUGAGUAACGCGUAAGGAACUUGCCCUGCAGACAGGGAUAACAGACGGAAACGACUGAUAACACCUGGUAUUGUCAGGCUGGCGCAUGCCGGCCUGAUGAAAGGAGACGCUGCAAGAGAGCCUUGCGUCCUAUUAGCUAGUUGGUGGGGUAACGGCCCACCAAGGCGAUGAUAGGUAGCCGGCCUGAGAGGGUGAACGGCCACAAGGGGACUGAGAUACGGCCCUUACUCCUACGGGAGGCAGCAGUGGGGAAUAUUGGACAAUGGGGGCAACCCUGAUCCAGCAAUUCUGUGUGCACGAAGAAGGUUUUCGGAUUGUAAAGUGCUUUCAGCAGGGAAGAAGAAAGUGACGGUACCUGCAGAAGAAGCGACGGCUAAAUACGUG
rnacentral:rRNA from 1 species